UUUAAUUAGUGAACUGGCUGCAAACUUUGGCUGUCUCAGCUCUCCAACGAGCCCCAGCCCAGCUCUGAUCUCUGCAGGAAACUUGGUUCAUGUAAAUACACCUGGGGCUCUCUGGAGUGUGUGUGUGACUCCCCCUGCUUUGGGGAUGUGCAGCAGGAGUGGCUGGGAUGUGGAGCAGGAGUGUUUGGGUCUCGUGGCUGGGGCUGUGCUCCCUCAGCCCUGCAGUCACACCCGGGGACUGCAAAAGGCUUUUAUGCCACUGUUUAAUUUUGGUGGGGAAGGGUUUGCACAAUGCAAAGACUAAUUAGUUGGGUUAAAUUAAUAACAGAAGAGCUGCUGUUAGGACAGGAGCAGUGGAUAUAAAUUACUUGCACGUUUCCAAGGCAGGAUGUUUUCCCCACGAACCUGGGAUAAAGCCCGGGCAGCUCGGAAAAGUGCAGUUAUUUUAUUCCUCAGGAUUCCACCUUCUGAAGCAAGAAGAGGGAGAGUGGCAUUGCCUUUCUCAGGGGUCUGAAGAUUAAACUUUCUCUAAGACCUGAGGCAGCUCUUGCAGAAUGCAGGGCAGGGAAAAGCUCCCCGUAAGGAGCUUAGUCUUUAAUACCAGACGGAGAAUGAUAAGGGACCAGUGAUCAAAGCACUCCCGCUCUCUCAGGGCUGUAUUUACCAACCUCCCUGCACACCACUCACAGAGUUUCCCCUGUAUGUUACAUUUCUGGGGAAUUACAAAAAAAAAGGGUGCACAUUUUAAAUGUAGAGUUUUAAUUAAUGCCCCCCACACCCAUCAGUUGAAUGCGAGAUUUUAUAGAGGUAUUUUUCUUGUCCCAAAAAUUGAAUGCUCCGAGAAGAGGAGGUGUUUCCUGGCAUUUGGUGCAAUUCCAGCAGCUGUUUGGUACAUCCAGAACAUCCUUGGUGUCUCUAUUGGGCUCUUUCCGUGGCAGAAAGAGCUCCCAGUGGUUCUGUGAGUGAAGGGAAAGAUGAUUUAUUGUCAGUCCCAGCAUUGUAAAACUUCACACAGUCCCAUAUGUUGCUGCUCUGUAACCUGUGAGCCUGAGAGAGGAACCCCCAGACUGUGCUAAACCCGUCUGUCACAUCGGGUAAGGAUGGAGAUCCUGGCAGAAGAGACUAUUGUUCUGUGGGGAUUAAAAAAGACACACUGUGGAAAAGAUGUUUUACUGUUGCAUCAAGAAAAGGGUGAAGUCUAAUGUAAAUUAUCUAUGAGAGAUCAGGGAGGAAAAAAGGAGUAGUUAAAUUAUCUUUUUUCGACAGAAAUUCAUCAAAGCCCAUUUUAUUUUGCUUCUUUCUUUGAAGAUUUCUCUUCCUAACCAAGCUCAUUUCCAUCCCAUGUUCCUUUUUAAUUUUUUAAGAGAAGUUGAAUAAGGGCAAAUCAUGAAACCAGGAAUUAUGAUUUGGAGUUCUGAAAAUUUAGUGUAGGUUCUGUGGCCUGUUGACUGAGUUCAAGGAUGCUGAAAAGCUCUGGAGAUGUUUUAGGUCAGGAGUUGCCAAUGAACAAAGGUACCUGAUCUCCCCUGUCUCAGUCUCCACAGACAGGGACAUCUGGCUGUGUUGUGGACUAACUUGGUGACCCCUUUACUUGGCAUUUUGCUUAAUCCCUUUGUUGUGUGUUUUAUACUGGUGGAAUUUUUGGGUGGGAACCAUUAGCUGAUGCUGUGAGUUACUGUUAUGGGUCACAUCACCCACUUAGAUUGACAUUACUACGUUGGGUAUAAACCCCCUUCAAAUUUUGCUGACAGGAAUAGAAAUAUGGUCCCUGAUGUGCCAGAAAUAAAGUUGUGACAGUUUUUCAUGUCCAUGUUAGAGGUGUUGGUCCUGCAGCCCAAGAGCUGCUGGGACUCCCUGGCAGGAGCACAAACAUCCUGGAGUCAGGUGGAUGCUCACAGCAGCUUCUGUGAGGAGAAGCAGCCAAGAUCUCUGGUCAAAUAGUUUUGCCAAUAUUAUUUUUAUAGAUGGAGGAAAAAAAUCCUGUUCUACUUGAAAAUCAGGAGUGAGUCAGGUGGAGCAGGGGACAAGGAAAAGAUGCAGCUCUUUCAGGCAGAGAUGGAGAGGAAGGAUGUUUCUGAUCCAGACAUCAAAAGGAAUAAGAAGCCAUUCUUCCUUUGCACUGAGAAGUUUCAUGAGAGUCAAUGAACAUCAAAAAUCAUUGUGUUCUCCCUGGCUGCUCUGGCUCUUGAAGUGCUUGCUGAUGAAUGGGAGAUGAUUUUUUGGCCCUGCUGAGUUUCUUGCACUGUGAAUCCAUCCUGGUGAUGAACUGUCACAUAACUCUUCCCCGGCUGUCGAGCGCUGGAGGCAACAGCCCCAGAUUCACCCAAUCCAUCAUUCUUUGUAAUCUGGAAGUGCAGAAAGCUGCACAUCCAGGCAGCAGGUGGGAGGCUGGAUGGUCUCUUCCCACCACUCCCUCUUUGGGGGUUGGAUUUUCAUUCCCUUGGCUGUCAAACACGAGGGUUGCUGUGUUGUGCAGCUCAGCUGCUUUGCCCUGCAGCACCUUCUUGGUUUGAGAGAAGUCCUUCUGUGUGCCUGAAAUGAGUGCCAACCAACCAAUUCUGUGUCUCAGUGUGUGAGAGGUCUGUGCCUGGCUCUGUUACCAGCUCAUGGAGUAUGGUUAGUUCACAUCCAGUAACAUUUGCAUGCUCUGGGGGAGGAGAAGGUGGCUCUGAAGUGAGGCAGCUUUUGUUAUUUUUGUCAUCCCUGUUUAGCCAAACUGCUUUGGAUGGAGCACUGGAAUGUUCACAGCUGCAGUUCUGUGACUUCACAUUUCAACAGCAAACCAACACAGCAAGAGAGUCUGUUAAAGCCCAGGUCUUUGCUGUAAUCUCUCCUGUGCUCACAGGAGUCAUUCCAGGCUUGUGUUUGCUGGAGUCUCAGCUCCAAGGAUCCAAAGUUAUCUGCUGCACAGCUUUCCCUCUGAAUCAGGCUGAGUGCUAAAUGGGUCUGUCUUGCCUGGAAAAGCAAUUUCCUGGUGGCUGAGCCUGACUGUGGGUCCUGUGCUGUGGUGGCAGCUCUCUGAGGACAGGUUUUGUUGUUGAUGACAAACCAAACUGAGGAGCAUCACUUGGGGAGCUCGGUCCAGCACUAGUCUCUCUUUUCGUCCCUCCUCCUUUUCCUGCCUUUUGCCUGCUUGCUCUGUCUCCAAUCAGCCUCAUUAAAUAAAUAUGAUUAUUCAAAAGGAGAA